rnacentral:rRNA from 1 species
AUGAGAGCUGGAUGAAGGUCGAACAAGAGUGAGUGUCUGAAGUUAAAAAAGUAAUUUAUGGUUUGGGUGAGAACACUUAAAUGGGUUUAAGGGACGAUAAGACCCUAAAAGCUUUAUAAAUGAGUUUUGUUUGGUAUAAGGUCUUGGUGUUUAGCUGGGGUAGUUGUUAUGGGGAGACCAUAGUUUUUUCAAGUUUGGUGUCUGGUCUUUUAUAUAAGGAUAAUUUGAGUUAGUUACUUUAGGGAUAACAGCACGAUAAGCCCGGAGAGGCCGUAUUUAUGGGGUUGGUUGUGACCUCGAUGUUGAAUUAGGAUUUCUUUUUGAAGCAAAAGUUAAGUGAGAGGGUUUGUUCAACCUUUAAAUUUCUACAUGAUUU